UUGUAAUUAACAGGAAGGGAGAUCGAUCGAAUCGUCAUGCCGAUCUCGUAGAGAAACUGUCCCGACUUAAAUGGGGGGAUCCGGCUCGGUCGGGCCACGGCGAUGCGGCCGAUUCCGGGAAU